UAUACGUUGCAUAAUUACGCUGUGAUUUUGGAACCAAUUACUAAAAUAUGGUGUCGUUUUGCGUGAAGACAGUUUUACUUUUGAUGCUCUUUACCUACCUAACUUUUACAAAUGCAUAAGACGGUGGUGGCAGCCGUGGUUUAAGUAUCUCGUACCUCGCAAGAUUAAAGAAACGGCAGGUCAGGGCAGUUUCUGGUGUUGAUGAAUUUCAAGAACGAAGAAGGAGAGAAACAGAGAGUGAAGAUGAAAUUGUUGAACGGUUGGUUGACGCUGGAAUGAAUAAUUAGCAGUUAGCACGUGGAUAAAAGCAAGGGCGUAAAUCCAUGUUGGAAAGCGGGGGGGGGACGCCUCAGUUUCUCUUGAAACAAUUAACAUUAGUUAUUUGCAUAAGGUUACAAAAAGCCAGCUCAAAGUCGGUCCGCGGUCAA